GAGCACUGCAGAGAAAAUAUAAAAGACAAAGAUUACCAAAAAAAAAAAGAACAAGUGAGGCUUUGGGCAAACUCGACACAUUGUCACUUUGAUUCAAAAAAAGGCACCUUUCACCUGACUCGGAGGUGCAAAAAACUUCAAGGGUCGUUUUGUUUUCCGAUAGCAAACAUUAAGAUGCCCUGAUGUGGAACUUUCAAUAUCAAUUUCAUAUUUUAGAAGUAGGACCUGCCCCCUUUUCUCAAGUGCCAGAUGUGUAAAAAAAGGAAUUAAAUACAAAAGCCUUGAAGCCCAUUGAUGAAUUUUCAGGCGUGUUUGGUGGGUGACUUUUCCGAAAUAUUUGCUCAAAUUCGUGGGCUGUAGUUCACGGUAAUGUCGAGCGGAAAUGCAGCAAGCCGUUUCUCAGUCUGAUUUUGUCUUUGAGCUCUGUGACAGCAAACUCGUUGAGCCUGUACUAAUUACUGCUUUCUACACCGUCUUAUGUCCAAUGACCGGCCGCCAUUUGGAGCCAGUGUCUUCCGUUGUAUAUGAAUGAACACUUCAAGGAGCAAUGUCAAAUUUACAGUGCACCUGUCAUGCAUUUGUAGUUUGGGCUCACCUUUUGUGACAUAAAGGUAGAAAAAGUCACAGUAGAAAAUGGUCUGGACGACACCCGCCACCACGGCGAUAUGGUCAAAGAAGUUCUCCGUGUGGUAGCGCCACAACCAGUUGGCGAUAUAAAGGGCUCGGUACAGGCCGAGGAAGAACAAGUAGUGGGUGGUGAUGGACUCGGCCUCGCCCGUCUUGGUGAU